ensembl:lncRNA
GAGGGGGCCGCCGUUGCCAUGGCAGCGCAGCCACCGCGUCGGUCGCCGGCGGAGCCUGCGGGGAAGCUCGGACCCCGAGUGGGCGACUGGGCGGCGUCUCUGGCUCGUUCCCUUAGGCUGCGGCUGGAUCUCGUGCUCGCCAGUAGCCACGGGGAACCGAGUCGCCACCAAGCGUGGCCGAACUCGGGCCGAUUGGCCCCGACUCAUUUGCCCACCGACGUGGCCCCGUUCCUUUCACAGAGGUUAUUCAUCAGGCUGAGCCCAGAACAAGUUGACUGUAGGACAUUGGAAAGCAUCCAUGAGUGUUUGGCAAACAGAAUUGCCUUGAUCCGCUCUUGAACUGGUUGGUGGUUUUCUUUAGAUGGAGGCUGAGCUACACACGAAACCACCAGAAUCAGGAAGCUGCUGUGAUCAGGAAGUCUCCAUUACAGCUUCUGGAUCUCUGGAGCCUCCUGAAAUCCACAUCCUCAAGAUGGAUGGUGUGGGCCCUCCUUCGACACCUCCAAGGCUAUGCAGCGGCCACACACUGGGACCUCUGUUCAUCCUGGUGAAGAACUGUCCAGUGACUCCUUGAUCAAGCUUGCCAGCAAAACAGCAGAAGCGGCAGAAACGAAACUGGAACCAACGAAGUGCACCAUGAGAACCUAAAUUAUAUUUAGAACUUUGCUUCAGGGAAAUCUGAGAAAAACAAUCUUGUGGUGUUCCACCUCUCCGAAAGAGGAAGGUACACUAAAAGGAGCUUGGAAUGGCUGCUGAGCACCAACCCACUCCAUAUUACACCUU